GACGAAUGCUGGCUGCGUGCUUAACACAUGCAAGUCGAACGGUGAAGGGGAGCUUGCUCCCCGGAUCAGUGGCGAACGGGUGAGUAACACGUGGGCAACCUGCCCCUCACUCUGGGAUAACUCCGGGAAACCGGGGCUAAUACCGGAUACGACCGGGAGCGACAUCGCUCCUGGUGGAAAGAACUUCGGUGAGGGAUGGGCCCGCGGCCUAUCAGCUGGUUGGUGGGGUAACGGCCCACCAAGGCGACGACGGGUAGCCGGCCUGAGAGGGCGACCGGCCACACUGGGACUGAGACACGGCCCAGACUCCUACGGGAGGCAGCAGUGGGGAAUAUUGCGCAAUGGGCGAAAGCCUGACGCAGCGACGCAGCGUGAGGGACGAAGGCCUUCGGGUUGUAAACCUCUUUCAGCGGGGACGAAGCGAAAGUGACGGUACCCGCAGAAGAAGCACCGGCUAACUACGUGCCAGCAGCCGCGGUAA
rnacentral:rRNA from 1 species